rnacentral:misc_RNA from 1 species
AACAUCGCGCACCUGCGGGAACCUGCGGAGGGAUCACUACAGAGUUGCAAAACUCCCUAAACCAUUGUGAACGUUACCUAAACCGUUGCUUCGGCGGGCGGCCCGGGUCCUUCCCGGCGCCCCUCGGCCCUCGCGGGCGCCCGCCGGAGGUAAACCAAACUAUUGCAUUGUAUGGCCUCUCUGAGUCUUCUGUACUGAAUAAGUCAAAACUUUUAACAAUGGAUCUCAGAUCGGAAGAGC